rfam:Gemmatimonadetes bacterium 13_1_40CM_4_69_8 13_1_40cm_4_scaffold_665, whole genome shotgun sequence.
GGAGAGGUGGCCGAGUGGCUGAAGGCGGCGGUUUGCUAAACCGUUAUAGGGCCUAAAAGCCUUAUCGGGGGUUCGAAUCCCCCCCUCUCCG